rnacentral:rRNA from 1 species
UACGGGGGGGCAAGCAGUGUUCGGAAUUACUGGGCGUAAAGGGCUCGUAGGUGGCCAACUAAGUCGGACGUGAAAUCCCUCAGCUUAACUGGGGAACUGCGUCCGAUACUGGAUGGCUCGAGUUUGGGAGAGGGAUGCGGAAUUCCAGGUGUAGCGGUGAAAUGCGCAGAUAUCGGGAAGAACACCCGUGGCGAAGGCGGCUCUCUGGGACGGUACUGACGCUGAGACGCGAAAGCGUGGGGAGCGAACAGG